CAACCCCUGCCCGCAGUAGCCAGCAUUUUAGAUGGGGGGUGUGCGGGGACUGCCGGGGACAACCCGGAGGAAGGCGGGGAUGACGUCAAAUCAUCAUGCCCCUUAUGGCUUGGGCUACACACGUGUUACAAUGGCGCCGACAGAGGGAGGCGAAGCGGCGACGCGGAGCGAACCCCAAAAACGGCGUCCCAGUUCGGAUUGUAGUCUGCAACCCGACUACAUGAAGCCGGAAUCGCUAGUAAUCGCGGAUCAGAAUGCCGCGGUGAAUACGUUCCCGGGUCUUGUACACACCGCCCGUCACACCAUGGGAGCCGGGAAUGCCCGAAGUCUGUGACCGAACCCGGAAGGGGAGGGGCAGCCGAAGGCAGGCCCGGUGACUGGGGUGAAGUCGUGACAAGGUAACCGU
rnacentral:rRNA from 1 species